AAUGUUUAAAAUAUUGGAGAAUGGCCACUGGAAGAUAAACCCACAUUUAUUCCUCACAUACGUGAUGCAAGCAAAUUCUCUUUCAGGCUCUAUAUAAACCUCUGUAUCUCCCUUCACCUCUUCACACAACAUUUCAAGUUUGUUAUUUCUUCCUUUAAUUCAUACAAUGAAACAGCUUUUGUGUUAAAUAUAGAGGAAAUAUAAGGCUAACUGAUUGUGUCUCCUCAUAAGCCUUCUGACCCUUUCAGAAAUGAAUUUAAGAGGAGGAUCCACUUAACUGCAUAUCAUCUUUGUUUGAUUCUAUGGAGGUCAAAGGGUAAGGGAGGUGACAGAAGAGAGUGAGCACACAUGGCACUUUCUUGCACGAUGACGAUUCAUGCUUGAAGUUAUGCGUGCUCACUCUCUAUCUGUCACCCCACCACCAUCUCUCAAAUCUUUUCACUUUCUACAUAUACUUGUUUCUUUGUUUAUUUAUUUUCUUGCUUUCCCUUUUGGUGCUUGGACUAACCCUAAGUAGCAGCUUGGGACCUCACUAUGUAUCAGCCAAAUAAUAUUUACAACACAUCGAUCUCAUACAUAUCACAGGUUGUGAUAAUCUUGCCUCUAUGCUAUGCCUAUUGACAUAUAUUGAAAGGUGCAACCGAAACAGUGAUGUAUUUUCUUGUGGUUAGAAAAGGAAUAGAAAGCGUCUGAUGGAAAGCUUGUUGAUCGUGGGGUUAUAUAUAAUCUUCCUAGUUUAUUCUCUCUCUAUAUAUAUAUUAAUAAAUUAAAACUAACCAGAUCUAAGAAUUGUUUGAUGUCCAAAGAAAUGAGUGAUGACAUGGAUGUAUAAAUGUUUUCAUCUAUACUUGUUGUAGUAGUUCAAAUUCAAUUGGUAUCAUACCAAUUGGGGGAAGGGGGUCUUUGGGAUCACCAAUAUUCGGAUACUGGAAUCCAACUAUUUUGGAUCA